UACGAAGGGGCUAGCGUUGCUCGGAAUCACUGGGCGUAAAGGGUGCGUAGGCGGGUCUUUUAAGUCAGGGGUGAAAUCCUGGAGCUCAACUCCAGAACUGCCUUUGAUACUGAGGAUCUUGAGUACGGGAGAGGUGAGUGGAACUGCGAGUGUAGAGGUGAAAAUUCGUAGAUAUUCGCAAAGAACACCAGUGGCGGAAGGCGGCUCA
rnacentral:rRNA from 1 species